rnacentral:rRNA from 1 species
UACGAAGGGGGCUAGCGUUGUUCGGAAUUACUGGGCGUAAAGCGCGCGUAGGCGGACGUUUUUUUUUAAGUCAGGGGUGAAAUGCCGGGGCUCAACCUCGGAACUGCCUUUGAUACUGGACGUCUGGAGUUCGGGAGAGGUGAGUGGAAUUCCGAGUGUAGAGGUGAAAUUCGUAGAUAUUCGGAGGAACACCAGAAGCGAAGGCGGCUCACUGGCCCGAUACUGACGCUGAGGCGCGAAAGCGUGGGGAGCAAACAGG